GUCACACUCUGCGGUACCGAGAGUUAGGACUUCGACAUAUCGUUUUAGGGGACACGAUUCAACCCAUAGCAGCCAUUUUUCUCAUG